rnacentral:rRNA from 1 species
UACAGGGGGUGCAAACGUUGCUCGGAAUCAUUGGGCGUAAAGCGCACGUAGGCGGUCUGUUAUGUCGGAUGUGAAAGCCCUUGGCUUAACUGAGGAAGUGCAUCCGAAACUGGCAGGCUAGAGUACUAAAGAGGGUCGCGGAAUUCCCGGUGUAGAGGUGAAAUUCGUAGAUAUCAGGAGGAACAUCCGUGGCGAAGGCGGCCAUCUGGACGAUGACUGACGCUGAGGUGCGAAAGCGUGGGGAGCAAACAGG